GACGAACGCUGGCGGCGUGCUUAACACAUGCAAGUCGAACGGAAAGGCCUGCUUUCCCUUGUGGAUUGCGGGUACUCGAGUGGCGAACGGGUGAGUAACACGUGAGUGAUCUGCCCCCAACUUGGGUAUAAGCCUGGGAAACUGGGUCUAAUUCCCGAUAGGACUGCAGGGUGGUGCCUGUGGUGGAAAACGAUUUUCUAGUGGUUGGGGAUGAGCUCGCGGCCUAUCAGCUUGUUGGUGGGGUAAUGGCCUACCAAGGCGGCGACGGGUAGCCGGCCUGAGAGGGUGGACGGCAACAUUGGGACGGAGAUACGGCCCAGACUCCUACGGGAGGCAGCAGGGGGGAAUAUUGAACAAUGGGCGGAAGCCUGAUGCAGCGACGCCGCGUGGGGGAUGACGGCCUUCGGGUUGUAAACUCCUUUCGACCGCGAGGAAGCCACCUGGUUGGAAGGGUGGUGACGGUAGUGGUAGAAGAAGCACCGGCUAACUACGUG
rnacentral:rRNA from 1 species